rnacentral:misc_RNA from 1 species
GAUGAAGAACGCAGCGAAAUGCGAUAAGUAAUGUGAAUUGCAGAAUUCAGUGAAUCAUCGAAUCUUUGAACGCACAUUGCGCCCGCCAGUAUUCUGGCGGGCAUGCCUGUCCGAGCGUCAUUUCAACCCUCGAACCCCUCCGGGGGGUCGGCGUUGGGGAUCGGCACUUACCUGCCGGCCCCUGAAAUACAGUGGCGGUCUCGCCGCAGCCUCUCCUGCGCAGUAGUUUGCACACUCGCACCGGGAGCGCGGCGCGUCCACGGCCGUAAAACAACCCAAACUUCUGAAAUGUUGACCUCGGAUCAGGUAGGAAUACCCGCUGAACUUAAGCAUAUCAAUAAGCGGAGGA